GAUGAAGAACGUAGUGAAAUGCGAUACUUGGUGUGAAUUGCAGAAUCCCGUGAACCAUCGAGUCUUUGAACGCAAGUUGCGCCCGAAGCCACUAGGCCGAGGGCACGCCUGCCUGGGCGUCACACGCCGUUGCCCCCCCAUCUACUCCUUCGGGAUUGCGGGGGGGCGGAUGAGGGCCUCCCGUGCGCCUAGCCGCGCGGUUGGCAUAAAUACCAAGUCCUCGGCGACGCACGCCACGACAAUCGGUGGUUGCGAAACCUCGGUUGCCCGUCGUGUGCGUUCGUCGCGCAUCGAGGGCUCGAAAAAAUGCUCGGCUCCGGCUGGGCUUUCAACGCGACCCCAGGUCAGGCGGGGUUACCCGCUGAAUUUAAGCAUAUCAAUAAGCGGAGGA
rnacentral:misc_RNA from 1 species